AAGUCGUAACAAGGUUUCCGUAGGUGAACCUGCGGAAGGAUCAUUCGCACGAAUAGUCCACAUAUUUAUACUAAAUAUUACAACCGAUGACGAUGGAUGCCUUGGCUCGA
rnacentral:misc_RNA from 1 species